ensembl:lncRNA
GGCUGGGGUAUAGGUAUAGGCCUGGGGUAUAGGACUAAGGUUUAGGUAUAGGGCUGGUGUAUAGGUUUAGGGCUGGGAUUUAGGGCUGGGGUAUAGGUAUAGGUAUAGGGCUGGGGUAUAGGGCUGUGGCUGGGGUAAAGGGCUAGGGUAAAGGUGUGGGGCUGGGGUAUAGGGAUGGGGGAUGGGUAUAGGGCUGGGGUAUAGGUAUAGGGCUGGGGUACAGGGCUGGGGUAUAGGGCUGAGGUUUAGGUAUAGGGCUGGGGUAUAGUGCUGGGAUAUAUGCCUGAGGUAUAGGGCUGGGGUAUAGGUACAGGGCAGUGGUAUUCGUAUAAAGCUGGAGUAUAGGUAUAGGGCUGGGUAUAGGGCUGGGC